UACAGAGGGUGCGAGCGUUGUUCGGAAUUAUUGGGCGUAAAGGGCGCGUAGGCGGUGCGGUAAGUCACCUGUGAAAUCUCCUGGCUCAACUGGGAGCUUGCAGGCGAAACUGCCGUGCUGGAGUGUGGGAGAGGUGAGUGGAAUUCCCGGUGUAGAGGUGAAAUUCGUAGAUAUCGGGAGGAACACCGGUGGCGAAGGCGGCGAUCUGGGUCGAUACUGACGCUGAGGUGCGAAAGCGUGGGGGAGCAAACAGG
rnacentral:rRNA from 1 species